GUAAGCCGUAUGAGCGAAAAGUUCACGUACGGUUUGAUGAAGGGUGCACUGAUAGUUCUAGAAUAUUUAUAUCUUUAA
rnacentral:autocatalytically_spliced_intron from 1 species